rnacentral:rRNA from 1 species
GCCAGACUCCUACGGGAGGCAGCAGUGAGGAAUAUUGCACAAUGGGGGAAACCCUGAUGCAGCGACGCCGCGUGAGUGAAGAAGUAUUUCGGUAUGUAAAGCUCUAUCAGCAGGGAAGAUAAUGACGGUACCUGACUAAGAAGCCCCGGCUAACUACGUGCCAGCAGCCGCGGUAAUACGUAGGGGGCAAGCGUUAUCCGGAUUUACUGGGUGUAAAGGGUGCGCAGGUGGCAGGGCAAGUCAGAUGUGAAAGCCCGGGGCUCAACCCCGGUAUUGCAUUUGAAACUGUCCGGCUAGAGUGCAGGAGAGGUAAGCGGAAUUCCUAGUGUAGCGGUGAAAUGCGUAGAUAUUAGGAGGAACACCAGUGGCGAAGGCGGCUUACUGGACUGUAACUGACACUGAGGCACGAAAGCGUGGGGAGCAAACAGGAUUAGAUACCCCGGUAAAC